UACGGAGGGUGCAAGCGUUAUCCGGAUUCACUGGGUUUAAAGGGUGCGUAGGUGGGUCUGUAAGUCAGUGGUGAAAUCUCCGAGCUUAACUCGGAAACUGCCAUUGAUACUAUAGGUCUUGAAUUAUCUGGAGGUGAGCGGAAUAUGUCAUGUAGCGGUGAAAUGCUUAGAUAUGACAUAGAACACCAAAUUGCGAAGGCAGCUCACUACGGAUAUAUUGACACUGAGGCACGAAAGCGUGGGGAUCAAACAGG
rnacentral:rRNA from 1 species